AUGCUCUACAUAAUAUACAGUAGUAAUAACAAAGAGAAUACGUAUGUAAUGCGUAUCUCUCUAUAUCUAUAUAUAUGUAUAUAUGCUAUGUGUGUAUCAACCUCGCAUAUUUUCUCCCUGUUGACCACGGCUCCCACAACGUGUCGCGAUGGAUGACUUGGCUUCCUAUUUCGUUGAAAAACGCAGCAAAGUGCGAUAAGUGGUAUCAAUUGCAGAAUCAUUUCAUUGCCCAAUCUUUGAACGCAAACGGCGCAUGGGAGAAGCUCUCUCGAGCCAUCCCCGUGCAUGCCACAUUUCUCAGUGUCGAAUAUAAAAACAAAACACACACCUAUUUUUUGUGUUGUUCAACGCACGCACAAAAUCCCGCCACCUCUUCUCCUCGUGUGGUGCAUAUUCAUGUUUGUGA
rnacentral:rRNA from 1 species